CGUCGUGCUAAGCCCCCAAAAGACCAGUGCACUAGUGCAACACUUAUAAUUUUUUAUGUAGCCGUCUGAUUAGCUAGUUGGUGAGGUAAUAGCUUACCAAGGCGAUGAUCAGUAGCUGGUCCGAGAGGAUGAUCAGCCACACUGGGACUGAGACACGGCCCAGACUCCUACGGGAGGCAGCAGCGGGGAAUUUUCCGCAAUGGGCGAAAGCCUGACGGAGCAAUGCCG
rnacentral:ncRNA from 1 species